rnacentral:tRNA from 1 species
GAAGUUAUAAGUUUAAUUAAACUAUUGGCCUUCAAAGCCAAAAAUAAACGGUAGAAUCCUUUUAACUUUG